rnacentral:rRNA from 1 species
UACAGAGGGUGCUAGCGUUGUUCGGAAUCAUUGGGCGUAAAGCGUGCGUAGGCGGUUUGUUAAGUCCGUUGUGAAAUCCCCCGGCUCAACUGGGGAACUGCACAGGAAACUAGCGGGCUUGAGUUCGGGAGAGGGAAGCGGAAUUCCGGGUGUAGCGGUGAAAUGCGUAGAUAUCCGGAGGAACACCGGUGGCGAAGGCGGCUUCCUGGACCGACACUGACGCUGAGGCGCGAAAGCUAGGGGAGCAAACGGG